UGACGUUAGCGGCGGACGGGUGAGUAACACGUGGGUAACCUACCUAUAAGACUGGGAUAACUUCGGGAAACCGGAGCUAAUACCGGAUAAUAUUUCGAACCGCAUGGUUCGAUAGUGAAAGAUGGCUCUGCUAUCACUUAUAGAUGGACCUGCGCCGUAUUAGCUAGUUGGUAAGGUAACGGCUUACCAAGGCAACGAUACGUAGCCGACCUGAGAGGGUGAUCGGCCACACUGGAACUGAGACACGGUCCAGACUCCUACGGGAGGCAGCAGUAGGGAAUCUUCCGCAAUGGGCGAAAGCCUGACGGAGCAACGCCGCGUGAGUGAUGAAGGUCUUCGGAUCGUAAAACUCUGUUAUUAGGGAAGAACAAACGUGUAAGUAACUGUGCACGUCUUGACGGUACCUAAUCAGAAAGCCACGGCUAACUACGUGCCAGCAGCCGCGGUAAUACGUAGGUGGCAAGCGUUAUCCGGAAUUAUUGGGCGUAAAGCGCGCGUAGGCGGUUUUUUAAGUCUGAUGUGAAAGCCCACGGCUCAACCGUGGAGGGUCAUUGGAAACUGGAAAACUUGAGUGCAGAAGAGGAAAGUGGAAUUCCAUGUGUAGCGGUGAAAUGCGCAGAGAUAUGGAGGAACACCAGUGGCGAAGGCGACUUUCUGGUCUGUAACUGACGCUGAUGUGCGAAAGCGUGGGGAUCAAACAGGAUUAGAUACCCUGGUAGUCCACGCCGUAAACGAUGAGUGCUAAGUGUUAGGGGGUUUCCGCCCCUUAGUGCUGCAGCUAACGCAUUAAGCACUCCGCCUGGG
rnacentral:rRNA from 2 species